CCAUGUCGGAGACUGGGAACGAACAGUGUUAAUUUUGUUGAGCGAAGCACAUUUUUGUGAGACUUGUGAGAGCGAAGUGAGAUUUUAUAGCGAAGCGAUUUCUAUUAUUAAAUAUAACUUUUAAACUUUAAUUUGUGAGUGAUUUUAAGCGAAGUGACGUAUUAUUUGUUGGGAAUCAGUUUUGGAGGCAAACUUUCCUAACACCUGGCACCUCCGACGAAAAAUAUUGAUGAAAUUUGCGAAUUAUUUCUGGAUUUUGACCUCAAGAGACAAAGUUUAGGUACGAAUUCUUUUAAUUUACUGGCGAUAUUUGUGGCGAUAUUACAUAACGUUUGAGAGAUUAUUGUGCAAAGACUUGUUUACGUUCUGAACUGUGGGAUUAUUAUUCAUAUUUCGGCGAUUUGUGGCGAUAUAUUUCAUAUCUGUGAGCGAUAUAUUUUCUGUGUAAACUUGUGUACUGCGAAGGGUGUUACGGCAACCCGCGAGUUUAGCCUGCGACCAGGUUAGAGUGUGCGAAGUUCCGCCUGCGAGAUUCGGCCCUAGAGGGGCCCUCUAGAGGUACAGUGAUUUUCAAACAUUUGUGAUUUUUUGGAGUGAUUAGUAAAAUUUGGCAGCUGUUCCCAAAUUUUAGUUGGCUGGAAGGACAUUCUACAAGUGCUAUAUCUUAUUGGCAAAUUCUGUAUACUUUAUAAUCAUACAACAUCAAAUCUAUUGAUACUAUGGCAACUGGGAACAGUGUAAUUGAGAAUAAGUUAGUACAGCUUAAGCUUAUAGUUGGGCGAACCAGAAAGAUUCUGGAAUCCGGAAAUCAAGAAGCAGUUGAGCGACAACAACGAGUUUUGCGAACCAUUGUUGCUGACAUAGACAAAUGUAAAGUGGAAGAAGAAGCAAGAAUGAUUGACGAGAAAAAGGAGUUGACAGAAAUUAGUGAAUGGAAUUCAAACAUCGAGGAAAAGUUAUCUGAAGCAGACAAGGACAUUCAUGACCUGAGAGAAUGGUGUGAAAGUAAGAAACGAGAAUGCGAGGAAAACCAGCGGAAGCAAGAAUUAGAUUUUGAACAUGAACUAUUUCAGACACGCCUAAAAUUCCAGAAUGAGCUACAGGCAGCUAAACUAAAGCAAGAAUCAGCAAGUGUUGAAAAGAAAGAGUCACAAGCA